rnacentral:rRNA from 1 species
GACGAACGCUGGCGGCGUGCUUAACACAUGCAAGUCGAGCGGUAAGGCCCUUUCGGGGGUACACGAGCGGCGAACGGGUGAGUAACACGUGGGUGACCUGCCCUCAGCUCUGGGAUAAGCCUGGGAAACCGGGUCUAAUACUGGAUAUGACUCCAUGACGCAUGUUGUGGGGUGGAAAGCCUUGUGCGGCUGAGGAUGGGCCCGCGGCCUAUCAGCUUGUUGGUGGGGUGAGGCCUACCAAGGCGACGACGGGUAGCCGGCCUGAGAGGGCGACCGGCCACACUGGGACUGAGACACGGCCCAGACUCCUACGGGAGGCAGCAGUGGGGAAUAUUGCGCAAUGGGCGAAAGCCUGACGCAGCGACGCCGUGUGGGGAUGACGGCCU